GAAAUGCGAUAAGUAGUGUGAAUUGCAGAAUUCAGUGAAUCAUCGAAUCUUUGAACGCACAUUGCGCCCUUUGGUAUUCCUUAGGGCAUGCCUGUUCGAGCGUCAUCUAAACCUUCAAGCCCUGCUUGGUGUUGGGUGCCUGUCCCGCCUCCGCGCGCGGACUCACCUCAAAUCCAUUGGCGGCCCCCGCGUCGGCCACGAGCGCAGCAGAAACGCGAACUCGUGAGCCCGUCCGGGCGGCUCCCAGAAGCUACACCCACCCAGUUUGACCUCGGAUCAGGUAGGGUUACCCGCUGAACUUAAGC
rnacentral:misc_RNA from 1 species